rnacentral:rRNA from 1 species
UACGGAGGGUGCAAGCGUUAUCCGGAUUCACUGGGUUUAAAGGGUGCGUAGGAGGGCAGGUAAGUCAGUGGUGAAAUCUCCAAGCUUAACUUGGAAACUGCCGUUGAUACUAUCUGUCUUGAAUACCGUGGAGGUGAGCGGAAUAUGUCAUGUAGCGGUGAAAUGCUUAGAUAUGACAUAGAACACCAAUUGCGAAGGCAGCUCACUACACGAGCAUUGACUCUGAGGCACGAAAGCGUGGGGAUCAAACAGG